rnacentral:rRNA from 1 species
GACGGUACCUAAUGAAUAAGCACCGGCUACUCCGUGCCAGCAGCCGCGGUAAUACGGAGGGUGCAAGCGUUACUCGGAAUCACUGGGCGUAAAGCGCAUGUAGGCGGUCUGUAAGUUGGGUGUGAAAGCUAUGGCUCAACCAUAGAACUGCACCCAAAACUACUAGACUAGAGUCUGGGAGAGGAAAAUGGAAUUAGUUGUGUAGGGGUAAAAUCCCGUAGAGAUAACUAGGAAUACCAAAAGCGAAGGCAAUUUUCUGGAACAGUACUGACGCUCAGAUGCGAAAGCGUGGGUAGCAAACAGGAUUAGAUACCCUGGUAGUCCACGCCCUAAACGAUGAAUGUUAGUCGUCGGGAGGCUCGUCCUUUCGGUGAUGCAGUUAACACAUUAAACAUUCCGCCUGGGGAGUACGGUCGCAAGAUUAAAACUCAAAGGAAUAGACGGGGACCCGCACAAGUGGUGGAGCAUGUGGUUUAAUUCGAAGAUACGCGAAGAACCUUACCUAGCCUUGACAUUGAUAGAAUCUGAUAGAAAUAUUGGAGUGCCAGUUUACUGGAGCUUGAAAACAGGUGCUGCACGGCUGUCGUCAGCUCGUGUCGUGAGAUGUUGGGUUAAGUCCCGCAACGAGCGCAACCCUCGUCCUUAGUUACUAACGGUUCGGCCGAGGACUCUAAGGAGACUGCCUUCGUAAGGAGGAGGAAGGUGAGGACGACGUCAAGUCAUCAUGGCCCUUACGGCUAGGGCGACACACGUGCUACAAUGGAUAGGACAAUGAGACGCAAUACCGCGAGGUGGAGCAAAUCUAUAAACCUAUUCUCAGUUCGGAUUGUAGUCUGCAACUCGACUACAUGAAGCUGGAAUCACUAGUAAUCGUAGAUCAGCCAUGCUACGGUGAAUACGUUCCCGGGUCUUGUACUCACCGCCCGUCACACCAUGGGAGUUGAUUUCACCCGAAGCGGGGAAGCUAAACUGGCUACCCUCCACGGUGGAAUCAGCGACUGGGGUGAAGUCGUAACAAGGUAACC